AACGAACGCUGGCGGCAGGCUUAACACAUGCAAGUCGAACGCAUCGCAAGAUGAGUGGCAGACGGGUGAGUAACGCGUGGGAACAUACCCUUUUCUACGGAAUAGCUCUGGGAAACUGGAAUUAAUACCGUAUACGCCCUACGGGGGAAAGAUUUAUCGGGGACGGAUUGGCCCGCGUUGGAUUAGCUAGUUGGUGGGGUAAGGGCCUACCAAGGCGACGAUCCAUAGCGAGUCGGGGAGGAUGAUCAGCCAACAUUGGGACGGAGACACAGCCCAAACUCCUACGGGAGGCAGCAGUGGGGAAUAUUGGACAAUGGGCGCAAGCCUGAUCCAGCCAUGCCGCGUGAGUGAUGAAGGCCUUAGGGUUGUAAAGCUCUUUCACCGAUGAAGAUAAAGACGGUAGUCGGAGAAGGAGCCCCGGCUAACUUCGUGCCAGCCGCCGCCGUAA
rnacentral:rRNA from 1 species